rnacentral:rRNA from 1 species
UGGGGAAUAUUGGACAAUGGGCGCAAGCCUGAUCCAGCAAUGCCGCGUGUGUGAAGAAGGCCUUCGGGUUGUAAAGCACUUUUAUCAGGAACGAAAAGCGUGGGGCUAAUACCUUUACGUGCUGACGGUACCUGAGGAAUAAGCACCGGCUAACUUCGUGCCAGCAGCCGCGGUAAUACGAAGGGUGCAAGCGUUAAUCGGAAUUACUGGGCGUAAAGCGUGCGUAGAUGGUUUGUUAAGUCGAAUGUGA